GUAUGGUCCUGAGAACAUUAGCCUACCUACAGGUUGGCCACUUGGCCCAUCUAAGAAGACUCCUCCCUCAACAAGCUAUUCAGAAACCUCUGUUCAAGGACACGUUUGAAUGAAACCAUGUAACAUAUAGACAAACCCAGCAGGUGAAGGUGGAGCGCAAGCUUGGCUCUGAGUACCUGGGUGCUGCUGAGCACACAGCCUGCAGAAGCAGCGGAGGCAGUGCGACUGAGAGAGAGAGAGAGAGAGAGAGAGAGAGAACCAGCCCACCACCUGCAGCCUCGCACACACAGGCAUGAAGAAACACCUUCCUGGAUCACAGAAACUCAGUGCGAGGAACCUCUGAGAUGUUGGAGCUUUAAUCAAGGUGGGGAAUGCGGACGACAGCGUGGGACAACAGGAAGACAGACUGGCUGUGAGGAUGUGAUGGACACUCUAGUGGGCUGAAAAACAGGUCAGCGCUCUGUCAUCGCCGAGAAAUGCAAACAAUUGUGACCUUACUGUUUGGGCCUUUCUACUGGCGACCUGUGCGCUGCAGAUGUGUGUAGCCCACGCGAGGACUCGGUUGCAUGCAAAGUGACACAACUUUGACAAAGGGUUCCGGAGCGGUCGUUUCUCCCCGCUGCCGAUGACACACUCUUUCCACUUUCUCCGCUCUCUCUCGGUGCGGUCUACGUGACGUAGUCUUUAGGCUAAGUGGCCUGAUUAUGCCCCAUUGUGUGGUUUAAUGUAUUUGAUUAUGGGGCCAUAUGUGACUGUAGAUUGGAAAUUUGCAAGAGAACACAAGGGCAAGUGAAAACCUCCAGGCCUUGUUAUUGUAAAACAGGUGUAGUGGCCGUGCACCUGGG
ensembl:lncRNA